UUCUUGCUUCGGCAGGAAAUAUACUAAAAUUGUAACAAUACAGAGAAGAUUUGCAUGGCCCCUGCGCAAGGAUGACACGCAAUUUCGUGAAUCGGUCCAUAUUAAA